rnacentral:rRNA from 1 species
GCUCAGUAACACGUGGAUAACCUGCCCAAGGGUUCGGGAUAACCCCGGGAAACUGGGGAUAAUACCGGAUGGAUCACUAGUGCUGGAAUGCUUGGUGGUUUAAAGGUAACGCCUUUGGAUGGGUCUGCGGCGGAUUAGGUUGACGCCGGUGUAACGUACCGGCGUGCCUGUAAUCCGUACGGGUUGUGGGAGCAAGAGCCCGGAGAUGGAUUCUGAGACACGAAUCCAGGCCCUACGGGGCGCAGCAGGCGCGAAAACUCUACAAUGCAGGCAACUGCGAUAGGGGGACAUCGAGUGGCAUCCACCUUGGGUGCCUGUCCAACCGUCUAAAAAACGGUUGUUAGCAAGGGCCGGGUAAGACCGGUGCCAGCCGCCGCGGUAAUACCGGCGGCUCGAGUGGUGGCCGAUAUUAUUGAGUCUAAAGGGUCCGUAGCCGGCUUUGCAAGUCCCCUGGGAAAUCCAGCGGCUUAACCGUUGGGCUUUCAUGGGAUACUACAUUGCUUGGGACUGGGAGAGGUAGGAGGUACUCGGGGGGUAGGGGUGAAAUCCUGUAAUCCUCCGGGGACCACCGGUGGCGAAGGCGUCCUACCAGAACAGGUCCGACGGUGAGGGACGAAAGCUAGGGGCACGAACCGGAUUAGAUACCCGGGUAGUCCUAGCCGUAAACGAUGCCCGCUAGGUGUCACGACGGUCGUGAAUCGUCGUGGUGCCGUAGGGAAGCCGCGAAGCGGGCCACUUGGGAAGUACGGCCGCAAGGCUGAAACUUAAAGGAAUUGGCGGGGGAGCAC